rnacentral:lncRNA from 1 species
CGGUGCUACAUGUCAAACUAUACUUAACACUUCAUAAAAAUAACUUGAAGUGUCUCUUUUUAUUUGAACAAAUUAAGGAAUUUUACUAUAAGAAUAAUUCACAAACGAAUAAAGAAAUAUAUGAUUAUUGGACCGAAUUCAAGAAGAAUCCCCUUGAGAAUAUGAUGUUCAAAAACAGGCAUCCAAGAGACAACAACAACACAAGGCAGCACAGCAUCCUUUCCAGAAGCCAUCACCCUUGGACUUGGUUUCUACAGGUCCAUGAUGGGCAGAAGCAGGAUUUGGAGCAUAUCUUGUGGGAUAACCAGCAGGUGGCGGAGCCUGCACGUAAGAAGGUCCCGGUGCCGGUGCUGUCGAAAAGGUUGGGGAUGAGGGUAUGCUGCUGCUGCUGGUGAAAUAGUCGACGAUCCCAUCUUAGUUGAAAAAUAAGAUAAGUAAUUGUAGUCUGGGUUUG